AUGAAUAAUAUCUCCUCUUUGAGGAUAAAGGUUUUUGUACGGCGGCUCAAUGACUUUGUAUCACUGUGGUACACGUUCGGUGGAGGAACUAGACUGGAAUUUGGAAGUGAUGUCCGUCCCACCCUGACGGUGCUUCCCCCCUCCAGUGAGGAGCUGCUGAAGGGGAAGGCCACGCUCAUGUGCCUGGCCAACAAGGGCUUCCCCUCAGACUGGAGUCUGGCCUGGAAGGUGGACGGCAGCCGCUGUAGCAGCAGCUGGGAGGAGAGCAGGAGCCCCGGGGUGCUGGGGAAGGACGGCAAAUACAGCUGGAGCAGCACCCUGAGGCUAUCUGUAGACCAGUGGAGGAAAGCGGACUCUGUGACCUGUGAGGCCACCCAGGGCUCCCAGACUCCGCUCUCAGAGACACUGCGGAAAGACCAGUGUUCCCAGUCCUGACCUGACUCACUGGGACUCUGCUACUGGUUUCACUCUGAUACUGAUCUCAGUCUGCAACUCUCUCUCUCUGUUUAUCUCUUUCCCUCACUCACUGUCUAAUUACAUGUUUCAUUGACGUGUUGCAUGUUUUCAUUUUGAUUAUUUUAACACAAUAAAGUACUUUUCAUCAAA